AGCGAACGCUGGCGGCAGGCCUAACACAAGCAAGUCGAACGAAGUCUUCGGACCUAGUGGCGGACGGGUGAGUAACACGUGGGAACGUGCCUUUAGGUUCGGAAUAACUCAGGGAAACUUGUGCUAAUACCGAAUGUGCCCUUCGGGGGAAAGAUUUAUCGCCUUUAGAGCGGCCCGCGUCUGAUUAGCUAGUUGGUGAGGUAAAGGCUCACCAAGGCGACGAUCAGUAGCUGGUCUGAGAGGAUGAUCAGCCACAUUGGGACUGAGACACGGCCCAAACUCCUACGGGAGGCAGCAGUGGGGAAUCUUGCGCAAUGGGCGAAAGCCUGACGCAGCCAUGCCGCGUGAAUGAUGAAGGUCUUAGGAUUGUAAAAUUCUUUCACCGGGGACGAUAAUGACGGUACCCGGAGAAGAAGCCCCGGCUAACUUCGUGCCAGCAGCCGCGGUAAGAC
rnacentral:rRNA from 1 species